rnacentral:rRNA from 1 species
CUGCUGCCUCCCGUAGGAGUUUGGACCGUGUCUCAGUUCCAAUGUGGGGGACCUUCCUCUCAGAACCCCUACGCAUCGUCGGCUUGGUGGGCCGUUGCCCCACCAACUACCUAAUGCGCCGCAUGCCCAUCCGUGACCGGGGUCGCCCCCUUUGGCCGGCAGGGGAUGUCCCCUCCCGGCAUCAUGUUGUAUUAGGCGGGAUUUCUCCCGGUUAUCCAUCUGUCACGGCCAGGUUGCAUACGUGUUACUCACCCGUGCGCCGGUCGCCCGGG